AGAAAACAUAAAUUAAACAAAAUAUGGUCCGAUCACUCUCUCUCAUCGGCACUACUUCUUUAACAAAAGUGAAGAUUCACUUAAGUGAACGAGUACUCGUUUAAUGAAUUGAGGUUUCUUCAUUAUGAAGUAAUUGCCAGUUCAUCUCUGAUGUCAUGUAUAUCGCCUUGAAUCGUUAAGAGAAUUAGUUCUCGCUUAGUGAAUCUUCUCUUGCAAUUCACCCUUGUCUCUCUGACGUCACUUUAAUCUCUCUUUAGGCUCACUUAAAAAAAUUGCAUGUCCUAAUUUUCCUCAAUAUUUUGACUUGGCUCACUACAUGCUCAUCUCUUGCUUGCUCAGUGAAUUAACUGCCACUCAUAUGCAUUUUUAUUUGAUACUUCAAGCAUUCCUUGAACUUUAAACCUACAAAUAUAAUAGAAAAAAGUCAUAGUAGCUCUGAUGGUACUCAUAACCUAACUGUAUAAUAUGUACAAUGAAUUCAAGGAAUUUCAUGAAAUCUUUUGUAAAACAGGUUAAUAAGUUCCUAAGUAAUACAGUUGAAUUUAGGUAAAUUUGAAACUUAUCAACUACCAAUUCUAGGUGCUACACCUUUGCUUGUGCAUAAUCAACAUGGCAUGUUUGGCGCCAUAAUGCUAGGCCAGGUAGUACAAUUUCUACUAGAAUGCCUACUUAAGCUAAAAUUUGAGAUUUUGCAAGGGGUCUGAAGUUUGGGAGAUAGAUAAUCUCCUUUUUGUAAUCUUGGGAGCUCAAGAUUUGGUGAUUCAAUCUAGGAAACCAGAGUUGGAUUCUACAAUUUUUGUUCUUUAUGUGUAAUUCUUAACACUCUUAUUUUGGUUUGUCAAACAUUAUCAGCAUAUCAUUUUUCCCGAUGUUAGGGAUGAGUAGAGAUCUAUAUGACAAUUCUUGUGUUAUGAUUUAUUUUUGUCUAUCGAAUGAGUUUGAUGAAUUAUUUUUCAUAUUUGUGCUUAAUUCUCUUUAUUGAUU
rnacentral:lncRNA from 1 species